rnacentral:misc_RNA from 1 species
ACCCAUGGUAGCAGCUUUGUGCUUGAAGCAGAUGGAAAAUGGGUGAAGACGACAAACACAGAGGUGCAGACCAUGGUCACAACAAUGAGAGCAUGCAGAACUGCAGCUUGCAGGAAGUACUUGGCUGAUAUAUAUAUUCCAAGAGCAACCCCAAUAGCGAUUGAGUAAAAUGCCCUUAGCUCUACCAUGUACUUUAUGGGUAU